UUUUUUUUUUUUUUUUUUUUUUUCAGGGCUGUACCUGUGGCAUGUGGAAGUUCCCAAGCUAGGGGUUGAAUCAGAGCCGCAGCUACUGGCUUAUGACACAGCCACAGCAACGUGGGAUCUGAGUGUUUUCAGUUCUUUGAGAAACCUCCAUACUGUUUUUACAGUGGCCGCACCAGUUUACAUUCCCACCUCCAGUGUACAAGGGUUCCCUUUUCUCCACACCCUCACCAACAUUUGUUAUUUGUGUUCUUUUUGAUGAUAGCUAUUCCAACAGGUGAGAGGUGAGGAAGGGCACAUCUUUAAAAGGAAAAAAAAGAUACACAUUAAAAAUCUAAUAAAAACCAAAUAGAGGGGGAGUUUCGUUGUGGCACAGCUGAAAUGAAUCCGACUAGUAACCAUGAGGUUGCAGUUCCAUCCCUGGCCUCACUCAGUGGGUUAAGGAUCCAGUGUUACUGUAAGCUGUGGUGUAGGUUGCAGACCCAGCUUGGAACCAGCAUGGCUGUGGCUGUGGUGUAGGCUGGCAGCUGCAACUCUUGAUUCGACCCCUAGCCUGGGAACUUAACGUAUGCCACAGGUGUGGGCCUAAAAAGAAAAAAAAAAUAAUAAUAGAGGAGUUCUCUUGUGGAACAGUGGGUUAAGGAUCUGGCAUUGUCACUGCAGGGGCUUGGGUCACUACCUUGGCUCAGCUUUGAUCUCUGGCCCAAGAACUUUCGCGUGUUGCAAAUGUGGCCAAAAAGUAAUAAUAAAAAACCUAAUAGAAAGGUUUUUGGAAUUACUUGGCACUAUAGAUCUUGAGUAACUUGAAUAAUUGUAGGUUCACCCUUUACAGCUUAACUAUCUCUUUCACCACUAGCUAAUGUGCUAAGAUGGAUGAUGGUUUAGGUAGAGAGAACAUAGUUUUCUAGGUAAACAAGAAAGAUGUCUUAAGUCCUCUGGUAUUUUGACCGGAAAGUGGUAUGGGUGGUAACACAGGGGAAAGAAGAGGGAAGACAACACAUAUAUUUUAUGAUACACAGGUAGUUUAUAAACUCCUAAGUCCCAUUUUUCUUUUUUUUUGGCCGCACCCAUGGCAUGCAGAAGUUCCCAAGCCAGAGAUCAAACCCCGGCCACAGCAGUGACAAUCCUGGAUCCUUAAACUUCUGAGACUCCGGGGGACUACCCAAGUCUUUCUUUUUUUUUUUUUUUUUUUUUCUUUUUCUUUUUUAGGGCCACACCUGCAGCAUAUGGAGAUUUCCCAGGCUAGGGGUCCAGUUGAAGCUACAGCUGCCAGCCACAGCCACAGCAAUAUGGGAACCAAGCCAUGUCUGCGACCUACACCACAGCUCAUGGCGAAACCAGAUCCUUAACCCACUGAGCAAGGCCAGGGAUCAAAUCCACAACCUCAUGGUUCCUAGUCGGAUUCAUUUCCACUGCACCACGACAGGAACUCUUUUUCUGCUUUUUUUUUAAAGGGCCAUUCCUGCAACACAUGGAAGAUCCCAGGCUUGGGGUCGAAUCGGAGCUACAGCUGCUGGCUUACGCCACAGCCUCAACAACACGGAAUCCAAGCCGUAUCUGUGACCUGCACCCCAAGUCAUGGCAAUGCUGGGUCCUUAACCCACUGAGCGAGGCCAGGGAUUGAACCCACAUCCUCAUGGAUACUAGUCUUGUCCAAAACUCGCUGAACCACAAUGGCAACUUCCCAAGUCCUAUUCUUAUAGACCCACACUAGAUGCAAGAUAGCAACAGAAAAACAGAGUUUAUGGUGAGUAAUGCUAGUUUCAUUUUUGUAAUGUUCUGAAACAGUGGCUCUCAGACUUAGCUGUUCUUCAGAAUCUCCUGGGAGCUUUGUAAGCAGACAAACUUCCAGACUCUUUCUCCCAAAAUUUCUGACUAUAGGUCAGUGUUAGGGCCUGGGAAUCUAUUUUAGCUUCCUGGAAAGCACAGAGAAUAAACUAAGAGACAUAGGUAACCAAAGCUUUAAUGAAAGGAGUGAUCUUUUCAAAAUGUGCAUUUGAUCAUAUCAUCUCCCUACUUAAAAUCCUUCCAUGUUUUUUUGUUUUUUGUUUUUUCUUUUUUGGCCACCUGAAGAAUGUGGAGUUCCUUACCUUGGUCCACAAAAGCCAGCACAGUUUCAAAUGCUCCUUGCCAGGGAGUUCCCGUCGUGGCGCAGUGGUUAACGAAUCCGACUAGGAACCAUGAGGUUGCGGGUUCGGUCCCUGCCCUUGCUCAGUGGGUUAACGAUCUGGUGUUGCCGUGAGCUGUGGUGUAGGUUGCAGACGCGGCUCGGAUCCCGCGUUGCUGUGGCUCUGGCAUAGGCCGGUGGCUAUAGCUCUGAUUCAGCCCCUAGCCUGGGAACAUCCAUAUGCCGCGGGAGCGGCCCAAGAAAUAGCAACAACAACAACAACAAAAAGUCAAAUGCUCCUUGCCAGGAACAGCCAUACCUACUAGCUUUCAGAUCUUCAGAGGUGUGCCGUGUACUCUGUUCAGGCUAUUGCCUCAGUCUUUUGGGUUUCUUCCCCUUUCCCCGCUAACACAUGCUACUUCCAGGACCCAAGAGAGCACAGUGCCUGACAUCUACUAGCUCUCAAAUACCUGUAGAAUGAAUAGCUACCUGGGUGAAAGGGAAGAGUCAAGGAUGGACACUGAUACUGUGUGGGUUAAGAACCCAACAUAGUGUCCCUGAGAAUGCAGGUUUGAUCCCUAGCCUUGCACAGUGGGUUAAGGAUCUGGUAUUGCCAGGAACUCCAAGAGGACCUGAGAUUUUUCACUGUUCUGAGAAUAACAAUGGGGAAGCAGCAUUGGGGUGCAAGGAGAACAAAGAACCCACCUCCCAGUAUAUGGGGUUCAAGAGAAAGAUUGGUCACUGGCCAAUCUUCUGGACCUCGCCCAAGGCAUGUGGAAGUUCCCAGGCUAGAGGUCAAAUCGGAGCUGUAGCUGCCAGCCUACACCACAGCCAAAGGACACAGGAUCCAACCCACAUCUGUGGCCUGCACAGCAAUUCCUGGAUGUUAACCCACUGGAUUGAACAAGCAUCCUCAUGGAUACUAGUCAGUGACCCAUGGCUGUAAAAAAAAAAACCUGCUGCAGCUCCAGGCAUCACAUCUUCCCACCAGUGACUGAAUUGGAAAGGAAGAGAGCAAUGAGGGCUUUCUUCUGUUGACACUCCAUCCCCAGGUCGCUUGACUGCCCUCAAUGGAACCAACAACCUUGGCUGCAACCACAGGAGGUUCUGACCACCAACGAACCUGCCAAGAUCUCUGAGGAAGACGCAGUGCCAGCUGGAGGGUACUCUGGUCCACCUGUGCCUUCCUCUCGUGGAGGAACAAGCAAUUCAGGAAGCUGCACCACAGCCUGGCUCUGAGACUCCCAAGAACCAGAGGUGGUGAUUCACCAAAUUAGAAUUACUCUGCACAGCUGCAACAUAAGAUCUUUGGAGAAGGUGAGGCAUCUUGAAGUUCCCAGGCAAAGGGUGAAUCAGAGCUGCAGCUGAUGCCUACAUGGUAGCCACAGCAACACCAGAUCCCAGUCACGUCUGCAACCUACACCACAGCUCACAGCAAUGCUGGAUCCUUAACCCCCUGAACGGGGUCAGAGAUCCAAACCUGUGUCCUAAUGGAUAAACAGAUGGGUUCAUUACUGCUGAGCCACAAUGGGAACUCUGGGGCCAAUUUACCCUUAAGCUAAUGAUGUCUUUCUUACUACCCACCUCACUUUUCCUUUGAGUUAAAACCUUUCUUUCCCCACACUGGUUAUCAGUGUGAAGUAUUUUCUAGUUAUUUUUCUCUUAUAAGAAGAGUUCCAAAAAGAUAAGAACUACAUCCUUUAUCUCUGCAUGACCUGUGCCUGGUUCAGGGCCUGGCCUGUGACACUUUGCAGCAUCUGCAAAAUGUCUGCAGAACAAGUUUAUAGUACCUGCAACUCCAGGCUCUCGAUGUUUGGUUUCCUGAUGAGAAAGGAGGCACUCUCAUCCCAGAUGGGGGCUGAUGUUUGGGGAACAGUCUGGUGGAGAUGAGGGGUAUGGUCAGUGCUUGAAACUUUCUCCUCUACUCCUCUCACCCCUCCCAUUCUAUUUUCCUUUUCUUUUUUGGCCAUGCCCAUGUCAUGUAAAAGUUCCCAGGCCAGAGAUCGAACCUGCACCACAGCAGUGACCUGAGCCACCACAGUGACAAUACCAAUCCUCAAGGGCAUGCCUCAUUCCUCCCAUUCUUAAUCCUGCAACAUUUUCUAAUACCUUAGUUUUAUGAGAAGUUUCUCCCACAGCAAGAGUAGCAUAAGGGCUGGGAGGCUUGGUACCUUUUCGAAGCUGGCAAGAGAGCAUUAGUCUUAAAUUAGACCAGUUAGGCAGAUCCCCCCACCCCUCACAAAUUGCAUCCGCCGCCAGGGGCCCAUGUUCCCAUUAGCACUUGACAGUCACUACCCUCCUGGCUUUGGACAAAUAAUCCUUCCCAGCCCGGUACCUCCUGGAGAGAGGAAUUUGUAAUUUACUAUUCCAAAUACACUAGAGGCAUCCAAACCUGAGGGAGGCGGAAGAAGGGCCAGGGAGCUAUGGGGUGUGGGGAGCAGAUCUCACCGGCAGGUCCUCAGCCCGCUCCAGGUAGACGGAGAGCAGGGCCGCUGCCAGCUCUGCACUCUUCUGAGUCUGGAUCAAACUGUUCACCUGCAGCACCUGGGGUGGGACACACAGGAGCUGGGGAGUGGUUACUGACACUCUGGGGCCAGGCAUGUGCCUUAAAAGCUGAUAGAUUUCACCUUGACCCAUCCAGGGUUCCUUUUGUCCUCGCACAUGCUUCCUUACUUACCUCCUCUAGCUCAGCAGCAGUGGGACGGGGCGUAAGACGCUCCAGACGCAAGUGCAGGCGACCAGAUGGGACAUCCUCCAGGGUCAGCCACUGUGGAAGCAGGCAGGGUUAAGACUUGGGGGUAUGGAGACAGGGACUAUGAGAAUGAGACAUGCAUCAAAAUCAGGAGGGAUUGUCAAUUCUAAUUCCAUGCUCACCUCAUCAAGGAAACCACUGUUUAGGACUGUGGUGAGGCUUACUUUGCACCUGUAGAAGAUUAAAAUUAAGGUCUAUAUAUGGAGUUCCCUGGUGGCCUAGCAGUUGAAAAUCUGGCAUUGUCACUGGUGUGACAUAGGUUCUAUUCCUGGCCGGGGGAACUUGUGCAUGCUGCAGGCGUGGCCAAUAAAGUAAAAUUAAUGAGAAUUAUGUCUAGAUACUUAUAUUGUAACAGAACGAAGUGUGGGGAAAAAAAAUGUAUACAUGUAAGUGUAUCUUGGCCCCCAUGCUGUACAGUGGAAAAAUAAAU